CAGGUUGAAAUUAUAUCUUUACUUUUACGGUUGAAAUGUCACCAAAUCCUGAUGAAUAUUGUUUUCUAAAUGUUUAAGAUGUGUUCUAUUGCCAAUAUGUAUGUCUGGAUGUUGUAUUCAGAUCAUAGUGUUAAUACCUGUACUUUCACUUUAAGAGUGUCGCAGGCUUUGUGGCGUCAUUCACGCGCUUCUUUCAGUUUGCGCCAGACUAGCUGAGAGGAGGAGCUUGAGAACUGUAUAUUGUGUGGAGGAGACUGCAUGUGACAGAGCCUUAUAUUUUUGUUGUUUAUUUGUACAGGUAUGUGUAUAAUGUUCAUUAUAAUUCAUCUGGCAUAGUGUUUACAUUGGUUGUAUUAAGCAUGUAAAAGAAAUUCAUGUUGUCAACUACAUUGAGCAUUUUAUAAUUUAUUCAGUUCAUUUUCACAUUUUUUAUUUAAAAGUAUUUUUGCUGAUAAUACUAAGUUUUAUCAGUAUAUGUAUAUGCAGUUUCAGCCAGACUAGCUGAGAGGAGGAGCUUGAGACCUGUAUAUUGUGUGGAGGAGACUGCAUGUGACAGAGCCUUAUAUUUUUGUUGUUUAUUUGUACAGUCUGCACCAGGCUCGCUGAGAGGAAACAAAUUUGCUGUUUCGCCUUUAUUAAAAGAGAAACCAGCA